UGCUUAUAGAGAAAGGCUGAGGGAUUAGACCCGCGGACGCCUUAGCAACCUGACGCAUGUCAAGGUGCUACAAUCUACCCGUUCGUAACGAAGGGAAUGAUAAGCG
rnacentral:ncRNA from 1 species